UACGGAGGGAGCUAGCGUUAUUCGGAAUUACUGGGCGUAAAGCGCACGUAGGCGGCUUUGUAAGUUAGAGGUGAAAGCCUGGAGCUCAACUCCAGAAUUGCCUUUGAUACUGCAUGGCUUGAAUCCAGGAGAGGUGAGUGGAAUUCCGAGUGUAGAGGUGAAAUUCGUAGAUAUUCGGAAGAACACCAGUGGCGAAGGCGGCUCACUGGACUGGUAUUGACGCUGAGGUGCGAAAAGCGUGGGGAGCAAACAGG
rnacentral:rRNA from 1 species